CUACGGGUGGCAGCAGUGAGGAAUAUUGCACAAUGGGGGGAACCCUGAUGCAGCAACGCCGCGUGGAGGAUGACGCAUUUCGGUGUGUAAACUCCUUUUAUAUGUCAAGAAAAUGACGGUAGCAUAUGAAUAAGCACCGGCUAACUCCGUGCCAGCAGCCGCGGUAAUACGGAGGGUGCAAGCGUUACUCGGAAUCACUGGGCGUAAAGGACGCGUAGGCGGGUUGGAAAGUCAGGUGUGAAAUCCUACAGCUUAACUGUAGAACUGCACUUGAAACUUCUAAUCUAGAGUAUGGGAGGGGGAGAUGGAAUUAGUGGUGUAGGGGUAAAAUCCAUAGAUAUCACUAGGAAUACCUAAAGCGAAGGCGAUCUCCUGGAACAUUACUGACGCUAAGGCGUGAAAGCGUAGGGAGCAAACAGGAUUAGAUACCCGCGUAGUC
rnacentral:rRNA from 1 species